AUGUAUGCUUGGAAGCUGCUCUCAAAA
rnacentral:rRNA from 2 species